UGUCUACGGCCAUACCACCCUGAACGCGCCCGAUCUCGUCUGAUCUCGGAAGCUAAGCAGGGUCGGGCCUGGUUAGUACUUGGAUGGGAGAGAGCCUUGGGCUUAUAAUAU
rnacentral:rRNA from 1 species